UACCAGCUCUUCGAGUGGUGUGGAUGUUUAUUGGGCCUAAAGCAUCCGUAGCUGGCUGGGCAAGUCCCCUGUUAAAUCCACCGAUUUAAUCGUCGGAGUGCGGGGGAUACUGUUCGGCUAGGGGGACGGGAGAGGCAGACGGUAUUUUCGGGGUAGGGGUGAAAUCCUAUAAUCCCGAGAAGACCACCAGUGGCGAAGGCUGUCUGCUAGAACGCGCCCGACGGUGAGGGAUGAAAGCUGGGGGAGCGAACCGGAUUAGAUACCCGGGUAGUCCCAGCUGUAAACGAUGCAGGCUAGGUGUUUGGACGGCCACGUGCCGUUCUAGUGCCGCAGGGAAGCCGUUAAGCCUGCCGCCGUGGGGAGUACGGCCGCAAGGCUAGAAACUUAAAGGAUUGGGCGGGGAGCACCACGAAGGGGUGAAGCUUGCGGUUU
rnacentral:rRNA from 1 species